GGCUUUGUUUCCAGACCCCUGAUCAUCCUGGUUGCCCUCCUCUGAACAUGCUCCAGGUAGAAGGUCAGAAGACUCUCUUUUCCAUUAAAGUUUCAUUGUACUGCAGAAAGUAUGAGAAAAUCUUUUCACAUACCCUGGAGGAGGCAUGCUCACAAAGAAGAGCUUUUCAUCUGCAGUCACCAACCCCUCAGAACUGAAGCAUGACUGUGGCUUUGA